rnacentral:misc_RNA from 1 species
CCCUUGUGGAGGAGGACGCCGAAGGUGGGGCUAAUGACUGGGGUGAAGUCGUAACAAGGUAGCCGUACCGGAAGGUGCGGCUGGAUCACCUCCUAACAGGGAGACAACAAAAUGUUUAAUAUUAUUAUUUUGUCACCUUAGGUCGAUCGGUAUCUCACGUUUUUAAUUUAUUAAGAAUUUCAUUUCCUAAGUUUUUCUAGGUCACACCCAUUAUUUUUCCUGGGCCAUUAGCUCAGGUGGUUAGAGCGCACCCCUGAUAAGGGUGAGGUCCCUGGUUCAAGUCCAGGAUGGCCCAUAUCUCUAUGUUGGGGGUAUAGCUCAGUUGGUAGAGCGCCUGCUUUGCAAGCAGGAUGUCAGCGGUUCGAGUCCGCUUACCUCCACUGAUUACCACCUCUUCCAUAAUCUGUAGAAAGGAAAUGUUUUGUGUUGUGAUCAGAUUCUGAACGAAUCUAGCUUCCUAAUGAAAUCAUUAAGAUGCUGGACUCAUUGAAUUAAUUUCAUUGUUUUCAGAGAACCUUGACAACUGCAUAGAUUUUUUUUAAAGACAAUAAGCAUCUUUAAUGAUGCAGAUUUAUUAUUUGUGCGAAUGCAUUAAUAACAAUUCUAUUAAGCUGAUGCUUCAAAUUUGAAGUUAUUGGUCAAGCUACAAAGGGCUCACGGAGGAUACCUAGGCACACAGAG